AAACUAUUUAUUAAUUAUUAUUACGUUUACUAUAAUAUUAUUAUUCGCUAAAAUAAUAGGAUACAUUUCUGUUGACACAAUAAUAACAGACUCGCGUUACAGAUAUCAGAAUUAUUCUAUUAUAUCUGGCAGAAUACCGAAACGCAAAAACAUCAUGAUGUUCAUGUCAUUAUACCGAUAUGGCAAUAUGUAUUCGCAUAUAUAAUGCACGUUAUUUGUAAGUACAUCGAAAAAUCAUUCACUCCGUCGGCACAUCCAUGGAUGAUUCCCGAUCACAAUGAUACAGAAUCUUGAAGGUAAAACAUAAUAUUAUAUUUAAAUAUUUAGGUAAUGUACUAUAUACUGUAAAUUUUCUCAUCGCACUACUCAGUUUGGCAAAAUUUGCCAAAUUUGGUGUAUAUUUAAUAUAUAUCGGAAAAAAGUGAAAAAAAAAGAGCUGAUACUACAGGGACGGGCGUUUUAUUGUUAUAGGAGAGAAGUUGGGAAGGUAGGAUACAUGAUAUUAUUUGAUUUAUAUCUGUAAGCGACAAUAAUUCAUUACUAACGAAACACGAUUCGAAGCGAAGUUAAGUUGUACAUGAAUUGAAAGGCCGUAAUAUUUACGAUUUUCAUCAGUUUGAUUAUAAACCAAUAAAAAUAAUAAUAAAAUACAAUAUUACACUCAAUUUUUUUUUUUUGACAACUAAGUGGGAAUUAUACUGCACCUCCUAUCAAAUAUUCGUACAUUUCUCCGUUCUUUCUAGUAUACUUUCUUCCCGUUCUUUCAUUAAAAAAAAACUGCAAAAAAAAUCAAAAAAACAAGUUACUUAAGCACCAACAAGAUUAAAAAUACAACGAAAAAAGGUCUCUUGUCGUUUUUCUAUUACAAAAAUAAUCUUGGUAGAAAUAUUAGUUUGUAAAAAUUAAAAACAAUGAAAUCGGUAACGUUACGGUGUGCCAUAUUUGUAUUUAAUUAUUUUUCCAUAAUAUGACAUAUAUAUUGUAGACAAAGCAACACUGUCAACUGAACUCCGCUCAGAAUCGUUUUUUCGUUAACAAUGGUUAAUCGUUGCGUACAUUCAAUAUCCCCUAUAUUUCUCCCAACUUCUCAUCUAGUGGCUGCACCUGUCCCCAUUAUCCUAGGACAGCUUUUUAAUUGUCUACUUAAUUGUAUAAUAAUAUAUAUAAUAUCUAAUAUUUUAAUUCGUAACCUAUAUAUAGACCUCAAGAAAACUAUUACGUACAAGGAAGUCUUAAAAUAUAAUUUUUGUACCUAUUGAUAUUUUGUUUCAUAUUGUUUAUUAGAACCUAUCUAUUAUGAUGCUAUUAUAAAGCAAUAUUAAUUUUCGUUAAUAUUCAUUUUUAUUUUUUUUGUUUUGACAAAUGAAAGAAUAACCUAUUUCUCAUAAUUUUAUGUUGUAUGGUUCAACAACGUAUGGGAUGCUCUAAACUAUAAUAGGUGUCAUAGUCCUUUUGGCAUUCUGAGCACCACUUUAAGCCCUAGCGUCCUGCAUAUGACGGAUCAAAAACAUCUACUAAACAAAUAAUAUUAAAAAAAAAAAAAAAAAAACAAACAAAAAUUAAGUCACAAGGACACAAGGCCUGGAACCAUAUUACACAUAACCAGUCCACCAAUACAAAUCCGUCAAUUAAGUCAAGUCAGGGCUGUAAAAUGUUUCGCGUAAUUUUCAUGUUUUAUAUGCACUACAAUUUAUGGAUACAAAUGUGGCAUAUUCCAUGUUUGUAUAUUGUAUGGGCAAUUGCAUCUUACGAGUUAUCGGAUUUUUUUCACUUCAAAUUCUGGUCGCCAUAUAGGUCUCUUAAAUUUUACUAAGUUCGGGUUUUCCUAUGCCUUGCGAUUCCUCAGUGAAGUUUCUGUACAUCUAUUAUAAAAUAUGUAUAAUUUAUAUCUUUCUACAAUAGUAAUAGCAAUCAAAACUUUUAGUGAGUAAUCAUGCCAUUAGAAUGAAAAGAUGAUACCUAUAGGUAUAGUAUAAAGUUUUUGUAGCUUUCUAUCGCCACCAUUUUAACUUAGGUAUUAAUUUAAAUAAUUGUUUUACCCAUUCAAUCGUCUCAUAAUAAAUUAUUAAUAAUGUCUUCAAUGAACUAUAUUGCAGACGAUGAAAUUGCGCUCAAUUCGCUCGAAUGCCGGACGUCAGAUUCUGGCGCCACGGCCAUCACGCUGAAGUCUGGGAAUUGCAAAAUGAUGUGACAAAUUCGUAUAUAAUAUUAAAAUGAAGUUAAAACCUUGUGGUGACACUUAAAGUUUUACAAUAAAUUACAAAUUUGCCGAAAUAUCGACCGUGAGUACUAUUUAAAUUGCGAAAAACAUUAAAUAGCUAGGGUUUCAAUUAUUUCCCUCGAUAAUGUGAGAUAACUACCGAAAGAAAGUAUUCGAUGUGAUAUACAUCAAAAUGUUUAUUGCACACUUAUACAUUAUAUAAUUUAUGAUAUUAUACUUAUUAUAUUUUUAUGAGUACCUACCUACCUUUUUUUAAGUAAAUUGUAUAGGAAGUGCUAUUAUUUAUUAAACACUUACCUAUAAUGUAAAUUCUAAAUAAGCUAAAGUAAAUUUAUUUAUUUGUUUUAUGUAAAAAAAAAUCCAGAAUUUAUAAUUUAAAAAUUAUUAUUUUAUAUAUUAUCAUUAUUCAUUAUUUGUUGAUAUUUUUUAUUACAAUAAUUAAUUUGGUUAUUUUAAUAUUUUGUUAAAGACAAUUAUUAAUCUUUUGACUCAUAGCCAUCUGCUUAAUGUCAUAUAGUAUACAAUAUUUAAAAGUACAAUGCAUGUAUAAUAGAAACAAAAUAUGUAGUGUUUUAUAGAAUAAAUUCAAUAAUCAUUAUUCAUUAUAUUAAAUUAUUAUCAUUGUAUUAUAUUCUGUGGUCUGUACAAAUAAUGAAUAAUAUUUUGUAAUUAUAGAGUAUUUCAAAUUACUUCUUAUAUGUUUUUUCAUUAUAUUAUGUAUUUUAUUCGUUAUAUAACAGUAAAGAGCGCCUAGAAAAUUAAUAAUUGUUUGAACAGUGAAAAUCUAUUAUUCUGAUAACAUUUUGAAAUGACCUACACCAUAUUUUGUAAGUAGACAAUUCAUUGAAGAAUAUGCUAAAAUUAUAAUAAUGUAUAGUAAAAAUGAGUACAAUUUGUAAAAGUAAUAUAUUAAUGAUAGAGAAUUUAGUAUGAAUGAUGUAUAAUAUUAAAUGUAAAAAUCCUG